UUCAACAGGCUCAGAGGUCCCAUUUAUGAUAAAUUGGUCAAGGAAUUCUGGAAACACGCUGAGUGUGAUGAUACUCAGGUGGUUUCGUACAUAGCUGGAAGAAGGAUAAUCAUCACGGAGAAAUCUAUUGUGAAUCUGCUGGGUGCACAUACUGGAACUGGGUAUAGAUUUCAACUGACUGAAUCCAAGUUGAAACCCAAAACAAAGGAAGAGACCAACAAGGCCCUUUACACCAAUUACAAACCGGGCAAGACCGAUUACAAGGUGAUGGAUCUUCAUCCUAAGCUCAGAAUCUGGCACAAGAUUCUGCUCAACUGUAUCAACCAGAGGCCAAAGGGCAGUUCUCCUGACUACAUCAACUUCUGCCAGAAGGCGAUGCUAUUCUUUAUUCAGGAUAAGAAGAAGAUCUGUCUUCCUUUGUUCUUGUUCUCUUACCUGAAAGAAUGCAUUAGGAAGUCCAGAACCACUGCAUCCAUCAAGUCUGCUAUCAAGUACAUUCCUUUUGGAAGACUUCUCUCAGAUCUUUUCAUUGAAAGUAAGCUUGUGGAAGAUCUGACCAAGGCUGGCUGCAUAGAGGAUCUGACCAUGAUUGUGAGUGAUGUUUCCACAUCCACAUCUUUGAAGAAGAUGGGAUUGGUCAAGAAGAGGAUAGACCCUGCUCAUGAAGAUACUUCAGAUGAAGUCAGAAGAAGAAGAAUCCCUCUGAAUGACUAUCCUUUGUGGACUCAGGCAGACAACCCAGAAGCUAUCAGGUGUUACGUUGAAGAUCUAAGAGCACAAGGCUUUGAAAUUGAUGUAGAUGAGUUCUUCAGAAGAUUGCCACCAGCAAUAGAGUUUGACUCUCCUCCAAAGAAGAAAGUUCAGAGGAAGAUGGUCUUGGAAGAAUCCUCUGAGGAAUCUGAUGUCCCUCUGAAGAAGAAGAAGAAGGCUGACCAGCCUAAGAGGAAACAUGCUGAAACCACCAAGCCAGAUGAUGGUGAUGAUGGUAAUAAUGAAGAUGGUCCUUCUCCUCCAAAGAAGAAGAAGAAACAAGUUAGAAUUGUGGUGAAGCCUACCAGGGUGGAACCUGCUGCUGUAGUUAUCAGAAGAGAGUCUUCUGCCAGAGUGACUCGAUCUGCUGUGCGUUCAUCAAGUAAGUCAGUUGUCAUUGAAUCUGAUGAUGAUUUAAAUUCCAUUGAUGCACUCCCCAUCUCUACACUUCUUAACCGCACCGCCACCCAACUCACUCCUAUCCCGGAGUCCCAACCAGCCACUCAAACCACCUCUCCACCCAAUUCCCCAAGGUCUUCAUUUUUCCAACCUUCUCCAAACAAAGCACCUCUUUGGAACAUGCUUCAGAACCAACCUACCGGAACCUCUGAUCCAACCUCACCCAUUACCAUUCAAUACAAUCCAUUAACCUCUGAACCCAUUAUUCUUGAACCCUCUGAACCUGAACUCACAAUUCCUGUCCAACCAGAACCUGAAUUCAUAACGUCUGAUCACUCUGUCCCCAGAGCAUCAGAACGUCCGGUUGCCAGAACCACUGAUACAGAUUCUUCCAGUGCCUAUACUCCUGUAUCAUUCCCAAUCAACGUUGCUGACUCCUCACCUUCAAACAACUCUGAGUCACAUCAUAAAUUCAUGGAGGUCAGAAAAGAAAAAGUGUCUGCCAUCCCAGAAUAUUACCUCACGGUCCCAAGCCCUAGGAGAUACCCUGGACCUAGACCUGAACGUCUAGUUGACCCAGAUGAACCUAUCCUGGCUGACCCUUUACAUGAGGCAGACCCUUUAGCUCAACAAGCUCAAUCUGACCCUGUCCAUCAAGAGCCAAUUCAACCAGAACGAGAACACUCUGUGUCUAACCACUCUUCGGUUAGAUCACCACAUCCUCUGGUUGAAACUUCUGACCCAAACCUUGGAGCCUCUGAACCAAAUGCUCAAACCUUUAACAUUGGUUCUCCUCAAGGUGUUUCUGAGGCAAACAGUAGCAAUCACCCAACCUCUCCUGAAACCAACCUCUCCAUAGUUCCCUACACUCACCUCAGACCAACCUCUCUCUCUGAGUGCAUUAAUGUUUUUAAUCAUGAAGCUUCAUUGAUGCUCCGCAAUGUGCAAGGUCACACUGACCUAAGUGAGAAUACUGAAUCUGUUGCUGAGGAUUGGAAUAAUCUGAGUACUUGGUUAGUAGCUCAGGUUCCUAUUAUGAUGAGGCAUCUGAUUGAAGAAAGGGAUCAAAGGAUAGUAGCUGCUAAGCAGAGGUUUGCAAGAAUAGUGGCUCUGCAUGAACAACAUCAAAGAACUAAGUUACUUGAAGCUGUUGAAGAGGCCAGAAGAAAGAAAGAGCAAGCAGAAGAAGCCGCACGUCAAGCAGCCAUACAAGCUGAAAAUGCAAGACUAGAAGCUGAGAGACUUGAAGCUGAAGCUGAAGCUCUUAGAUGUCAGGCUCUUGCACUAGUGGUGUUCACUCCUGCUGCUUCUGAUUCCAUUCCAGAUCAUCAAUCUGCUCAGAAUGUUCCUUCAAGCUCUACACAGCCAAGUUCUUCCAGACUUGACAUCUUGGAACAACGUCUCAACACUCAUGAGACUCUGCUGACAGACAUGAAGCAAAUUCUUCAGGAACUCCUGCGUCGCUCUGACAAGCCUUAGUUUUAGGAUUUCUUUCGUUUUUCUAAACUUUAUCUUUAUUUUUAUUUCAUUUGCAUUACUUACUCUGGUUUAUCAUUACAUAUAUAUAUAUAAAUGACAUUGUGCUUGCAAAUGUUUUUCUUUAUUCAUAUAAUUUAUGUUAUUACAUCAUACAUUUGUCCCUAAAUCUAGAAUGGAGGAUCCUUCCUCAUUCUUCUGCACUCUUGGCGCUGCUCUACCCUCUCCUUCUCCAGACGAUCCAAUGAAUACUGGAUGUUGUUGAGUCUGAUGUUAAGCUCCUCCCUCUCCAGACUAUCUUCUGUCGUCUUCACUAUCUUUUCCAUAGCUUCCUUCUCUUCCAGCAAAUUCAGCUCUAGCUGGCUGAGCUCCUGGAUUUCCUCCACGAAGGAAAGGAAUUCCUUCAGUUCCUUUUCCAGCUCUGGACAAAGGUCCUCUUCAAGCAGUGUCGUUGUCAGCUCGUGUAUUGUUCGUGUACCAUCCGGGUGUCGAAUGUUCAGGAACAAGUCUUCCUCGAAGGCCUUCCUUCUGAGCUCUUCUAGUGCAACCAUGUAUGAAGCCAUGUCUGAUUAUGGUAUUGAUCAAGUUGUGAAGCUUACCCUUUUCUUCAUCGCUUUAUAUAGGCUUCACUUUCUCUCUGACAGUUAAUGCUCCUACAGUUUCUCGAGGUUCAGUUCUUGGUAACUGAAGCUUCUCUUUACUCCCUUGGCCGGUGGUAAACGUUCUUCUUUUGCAUUAACUCUUCUCUUUAAUUCGCCUAACUCUGAUUCAUGCAUUGUUUUGUUUAUUUUAAACUUAGACCUUCUCUAAGGGGGAGUACCUUGUACUUCAAACUAAGUUUUUCACACCCCAAGCUUUUUGCUUAUGACAAAAAGGGGGAGUACAACCAGUUUUUGAUGUGUAAGUUGUGUUAGUGUGAUUUAUUUUUAUUUUGGAGAAUUUAAGAGUUCCACCUUUAUGACCAUAGAUGUGUCACUGGGCAAAUACAAGAAAUACAUUUCCCUUCUUCUGAAGUGAUUUUAGUUUGACUCUGAUACCCAAGACUCUGAUACCUUGUCCGUUGACUCUGAAUACUUAUGCGCUCUGAUUAUUCCAAUUCAUCUAUGUCAUAAGUUUUUCACUCUGAACUCUUAUAUUAUUUAGCUCAGAAUCUAGACUUUUCUAACGAUUUCAUCAAGUAUUAGAUUCAGGGGGAGCUAAGCUCAGAAUCAAGCAGUGACUUGAAUUUAGAAUGAGCAAGAUAAACUAUUCACAUCAGGAUAAGUCUUAUUCUAUAUCCCUAAACUCUGAGUGAAUCCAGUUUAUUGUUUAAGAAUUGUUCAUCAAAAAUCUUAGUUUUGUCAUCAUCAAAAAGGGGGAGAUUGUAAGAUCAAGUUUUGAUCUAGUAGUACAACUCUAUGUUUUGAGGAUUACAAGUUAACCUUUUGAUAUGAACAAUUGUGGUACUCUAACGUGUUUUUCUGAGUGUGUUAUUUACAGGCUCUGACCUCUAUUCCAUCUCACACAAAUCAGAAGCACUGUGCUUAAAGAGUGACCCAAGCAACGCUUUCGCAAUCUCCAUGUUCAGUCUGAACAGUGGAAAAGCUUCAGAAGAUCUGAAGUAAAUCUAGCUCUGAUAAGGACUCAGCUCACUUGAAGCUCUGAUGAUCCAGAAGAUCUGACAACCAAGAGACUCUAAAGGCUCAGAGGCUCUGAAGGUGUAGAAGACUCUGACGAUCCAGACUCUGAAGAGUGAAGACUCCGAAGUCCAGAAGCAACUGGCUCUGAAGACCAUGUACUGAUCCUCUGAAGUGAAGAUCAGAAGGUACAACGGUCAGAGGAUCCAAGCUUCCCUCUGACUUUGAUCAAUCAGCUUCACAAGUUCCAACACGAAGCGCUCCUCUGAUCAGAAGUCUACGAGGUUAAGGUCAAGUCACUAUCCAAAGUACAAAAGCAAAGUGUACUAUCCUGACGACCUACCUAACAUCCUCAGCCACAGCAGAAGCUGGAAUUUCCAGAACUGUCCUCCAACGGUAGCAUUUCCAUGCAACGUUCAACCCUAAUCCUUGGAGUAUAAAUAGAGGUUGAAGAUUGAAAGAAGAGGCUAGAAGCAUUCACACACGCGCAAGAAAUAUUCAAAUCCUUCUAAGCUUUCUUUCAUCUUGAAUUUCAUUGUGUUUACUAUAAGCUUUUUAGAAGCACUUUCUUUGUAAACAAGAACUUCAUAUACAGUUGUAUAGUUUGCCUUUAGGAGAUCAAGGUUGAUCGGAUCCUAGAGAAGACUAAGAGAGUGAAUCUUAGUGUGAGCUAAGUCAGUGUAUUGUUAGUCACUUGUAGGUUUCAAGUGCAGUUGUAACACAUACCUGAUUAGUGGAUUGCCUUCAUUCUAAGAAGGAAGAAAUCACCUUAACGGGUGGACUGGAUUAGCUUGAGUGAUUUAUCAAGUGAACCAGGAUAAAAUCCUUGUGUGCUUUUCUA
rnacentral:lncRNA from 1 species